rnacentral:rRNA from 1 species
GAUGAACGCUGGCGGCGUGCCUAAUACAUGCAAGUCGAGCGAACAGAUGAGGAGCUUGCUCCUCUGACGUUAGCGGCGGACGGGUGAGUAACACGUGGAUAACCUACCUAUAAGACUGGGAUAACUUCGGGAAACCGGAGCUAAUACCGGAUAAUAUAUUGAACCGCAUGGUUCAAUAGUGAAAGACGGUUUUGCUGUCACUUAUAGAUGGAUCCGCGCCGCAUUAGCUAGUUGGUAAGGUAACGGCUUACCAAGGCAACGAUGCGUAGCCGACCUGAGAGGGUACUCGGCCACACUGGAACUGAGACACGGUCCAGACUCCUACGGGAGGCAGCAGUAGGGAAUCUUCCGCAAUGGGCGAAAGCCUGACGGAGCAACGCCGCGUGAGUGAUGAAGGUCUUCGGAUCGUAAAACUCUGUUAUUAGGGAAGAACAAAUGUGUAAGUAACUAUGCACGUCUUGACGGUACCUAAUCAGAAAGCCACGGCUAACUACGUG